UCUUAUGAAUGAGCAAAGAAAGUGGUUUCUUGAGAUGGAAUCUACUACUGGUGACAAUUCUGUGAA
rnacentral:pre_miRNA from 1 species